UGUCAAUGGAAGAGGACAAAUCCAUUGAUGAGAUGACUUCGCCAAUGGACUCACUAGAACAUGAAGGUGAAGAAGUCUUCGAAGAGGAAGUCGACACAAAUAAGGUAUCUCAUGGUUGCUCAAUUGCUACUGGUAUGUGAGAGGUUCUCCCAUGAGAGCUAAAUCAUUCCAAGCUUGUAUUGAGAGUGCAAGGAUCAGUUAUAAGGGUUCAGCAUGUCUUGAUGUUUUCACUAAAUGGAACUCCACUUAUCUCAUGUUAGACACUACCUUAAAGCUAAGAAAAGCUUUUGAGAGGCUGGAAGAAGAUGAUCCUUUCUUCUCGGCUGAGCUUGAAGAUGAAACUCCUAAAAAUGAAGAUUGGGAAAAAUGCCAGAGUUCUUAUCAUAUUUUUGAAGAAGUUUUAUGAUUCCACGAAUAAGAUGUCCAGGACUUUGUAUAUCACUUCAAAUGAUUAUUUUGACAAGAUAGCUGGUUUAUAUAAAACUCCGAAACUAGCAACAAAUGCUU